UACGUAGGGGGCAAGCGUUGUCCGGAAUUAUUGGGCGUAAAGAGCGUGUAGGCGGUCCGGUAAGUCAGCUGUGAAAGUCAAGGGCUCAACCCUUGAAAGCCGGUUGAUACUGUCGGGCUAGAGUCCGGAAGAGGAGAGUGGAAUUCCCGGUGUAGCGGUGAAAUGCGCAGAUAUCGGGAAGAACACCUAUGGCGAAGGCAGCUCUCUGGGACGGUACUGACGCUGAGACGCGAAAGCGUGGGGGAGCGAACAGG
rnacentral:rRNA from 1 species